CUGGAAAGUGAUAAAGAAAAUCAUUCCGAAAUAGCUGCCAGUGAGGACUCACUUGAACACGAUCCAGAAAAUGAGCCGGAUUACACACCUGUCAAUGAAGGUGCCAUUGAUAAUCGGGGAAGGUCAAGGAAGAGGGCCAACCCAGACACUUGGAAGGGUAACAUCCAGAAAAAGGAAAAUAAUGAGGGGCCAAUCUUAUCUUGGACGGAAAAAAA